rnacentral:rRNA from 1 species
UACGUAGGGGGCAAGCGUUGUCCGGAAUUAUUGGGCGUAAAGAGCGCGUAGGCGGUCCGAUAAGUCGGCUGUGAAAGUCAGGGGCUCAACCCUGGAAAGCCGGUGGAUACUGUCGGGCUAGAGUCCGGAAGAGGCGAGUGGAAUUCCUGGUGUAGCGGUGGAAUGCGCAGAUAUCAGGAGGAACACCGAUGGCGAAGGCAGCUCGCUGGGACGGUACUGACGCUGAGGCGCGAAAGCGUGGGGAGCGAACAGG